AGCGCAGCCGCCGGCCGUGUGCGCCUCGGGGCUGCGCGCCCCGCGUCUCGCAGCGCCCUGCAGUAAGUGCCUGGGACGGGCUCUCGGUAACUGCGGCACGGCCCCUCCGCUCCCCAGCGCGGCCCCGAAUCGGACCCSGAGUGCGGGGUCGGGGGUCCCUCGCACCCCGACUUCCAGCUGCGCUCCUGUGGAUCACCUAUAGCCACAACCACAGCCAUUUUGUUGUCCAAAUACUGCCUAAUCUGUAGUAGGCUUCGUCUGUUUGCAAAUGGGAUUUUUCUCGUUUUGGUGUUCUAGGCUACGCUCRUACAGGAAGCAGACAUGUUGAAAUCACAGAAGAAAGCAAGCCUGUUCAUCUUGUAUUUCUGGCUGAGGCUGGAAGUGGAGUGCAAGAAAUCAAUUGUGUCUCAUCUAUUGUACAGGGAAUUAUCUUGUAGCUCGCUGCAUCUGUGUGGUCACUGCUUCUGGUAAUUUCCUGGGCUGCCUCUCUGAUCUGCUGCCUCUMCAGGUGUCUGGACUUUGCAAAGGCUUCAGAAAAAUCAUGCCUCAAUGUAACUAUUUCAUCAAAAUGGAACCAUGUCUGGAAAGAAGGUUGAACUCAUCAGCAUUUUAUUUCAAAAAGUAACAUGGAUAAGAAGUUCCAUUGGUAUCAAAAUAUUAUGUGUUGGUAAUAAAGGCAUGAUGCUGAUGUCACUGUCACUUUGCUUUUCUCCUGUUCUUCUCUCAAACUUGACCUGACCUGUCCUGGGAUUGAACAUUGGAAGUGUUCUCACCGUAACAUGUUUCUUGUGCUCAAAGAUCACAAUUAGGCUGACCUCAGCACACAGCAGAAAUGGUUGGAGUGGCAGAAGACAACCAAUGGUACACUUGUGAUCUUGACUGAUGCAUUAAUACCCAUGCCCUGCUUGCAGCACACGUGGCCACACAUCAGUGAGAUGAAUAGAAGUUUUCCUUUCUUUUCUGCUCUUUCACUUCCCUACUCUGUUUACCUAAGCAAUGGGAGUCAUCCUAACAGUUGCUAGCAGGAAAAGAUACAUCUUUUUGUCCCUCAGGAAAGACAUUUGGUAAAUUUGGAAUGAGCAUCUAAUUCUCUCCAGGAUGCUCUGAAUGUAAAUUUGGAAWGAGGAAUUUUUCCAAAUAAUCAUAGUUUAAAUGUCGAAUUCCAAACAUAUUUAUUUUCUUUGCUUUUUUGUUGGCGCRUGUUGCAUACAUGCUGGAAGAGAUUUCUUAUUAGUGGUUGCUAUGGUAAAAAGYAGUCCCCAGUCCUUUUAGUAAAAACCCAUGAACUGCAAUUAACUGUUUAAUGUUGUAACAGGCAACAGCUCUAGUAACACCUUAACAGC